rnacentral:rRNA from 1 species
UACGUAGGGGGCAAGCGUUUUCCGGAAUCAUUGGGCGUAAAGCGCGUGUAGGCGGCCACGUUAGUCCGUUCUGAAAGCCCGGGGCUCAACCCCGGGAGGCGGAUGGAUACUGCGUGGCUCGAGUCCGGAAGAGGCGAGUGGAAUUCCUGGUGUAGCGGUGAAAUGCGCAGAUAUCAGGAGGAACACCAAUGGCGAAGGCAGCUCGCUGGGACGUGACUGACGCUGAGACGCGAAAGCGUGGGGAGCAAACAGG